UACGGGGGGAGUAAGCGUUGUUCGGAUUUACUGGGCGUAAAGGGCGCGUAGGCGGCCACCGCAAGUCGACUGUGAAAUCUCCGGGCUUAACCCGGAAAGGUCAGCCGAUACUGCGGGGCUAGAGUGCAGAAGGGGCAACUGGAAUUCUCGGUGUAGCGGUGAAAUGCGUAGAUAUCGAGAGGAACACCUGCGGCGAAGGCGGGUUGCUGGGCUGACACUGACGCUGAGGCGCGAAAGCUAGGGGAGCGAACGGG
rnacentral:rRNA from 1 species